UACGUAGGGGGCAAGCGUUGGUCCGGAUUUAUUGGGCGUAAAGCGCGUGUAGGUGGCCAAGUAGGUCCGCUGUGAAAACAUUGAGGCUCAACCUCAAGCUGUCGGUGGAAACCCCUUGGCUAAGCAGUCCGGAAGAGGAGAGUGGAAUUCCUGGUGUAGCGGUGAAAUGCGCAGAUAAUCAGGAAGAACACCAAUGGCGAAGGCAGCUCUCUGGGAACGGUACUGACGACUGGAGACGCGAAAAGCGUGGGGAGCGAACAAGG
rnacentral:rRNA from 1 species